CGGGGUGCAGCAGGCGCGAAAACUUUACAAUGCUGGCAACAGCGAUAAGGGGACCUCGAGUGCCAGGAUACAAUCUUGGCUGUCGUGAUGCCUAAAAAGCAUUGCAUAGCAAGGGCCGGGCAAGACCGGUGCCAGCCGCCGCGGUAACACCGGCGGCUCGAGUGGUAACCGCUAUUAUUGGGUCUAAAGGGUCUGUAGCCGGCCGGAUAAGUCUCUUGGGAAAUCCGACAGCUCAACUGUCGGGCUUUCAGGGGAUACUGUUCGGCUCGAGGCCGGGAGAGGUGAGAGGUACUUCAGGGGUAGGGGUGAAAUCUUGUAAUCCUUGAAGGACCACCAGUGGCGAAGGCGUCUCACCAGAACGGUCCUGACGGCAAGGGACGAAAGCUAGGGGCACGAACCGGAUUAGAUACCCGGGUAGUCCUAGCCGUAAACGAUACUCGCUAGGUGUCGGCCACGGUGCGACCGUGGUCGGUGCCGUAGGGAAGCCGUGAAGCGAGCCACCUGGGAAGUACGGCCGCAAGGCUGAAACUUAAAGGAAUUGGCGGGGGAGCACAAG
rnacentral:rRNA from 1 species